GUGCCAGCCGCCGCGGUAAUACGUAGGUGGCAAGCGUUAUCCGGAAUCAUUGGGCGUAAAGGGUGCGUAGGCGGCUUCUUAAGUUUGUAGUGAAAGCGUAGGGCUCAACUCUAUUAAGCUACAAAAACUGGGAGGCUAGAGUGAGGUAGAGGCAAGUGGAAUUCCAUGUGUAGCGGUAAAAUGCGUAGAUAUAUGGAGGAACACCGGUGGCGAAGGCGGCUUGCUGGGCCUUAACUGACGCUGAGGCACGAAAGCGUGGGGAGCAAAUAGGAUUAGAUACCCUAGUAGUCCACGCCGUAAACGAUGAAUACUAAGUGUUGGAGAAAUCCAGUGCUGCAGCUAACGCAAUAAGUAUUCCGCCUGGGGAGUAUGCACGCAAGUGUGAAACUCAAAGGAAUUGACGGGGACCCGCACAAGCGGUGGAUUAUGUGGUUUAAUUCGAUGCAACGCGAAGAACCUUGCCAAGCCUUGACAUCCCUGGCAAAGCUGUAGAGAUACAGUGGAGGUUAUCCGGGUGACAGGUGGUGCAUGGUUGUCGUCAGCUCGUGUCGUGAGAUGUUGGGUUAAGUCCCGCAACGAGCGCAACCCUUGUCUUUAGUUACCAUCAUUCAGUUGGGGACUCUAGAGAGACUGCCGGUGACAAACCGGAGGAAGGUGGGGAUGACGUCAAAUCAGCAUGCCCCUUACGGCUUGGGCUACACACGUAAUACAAUGGCGCAUACAAAGGGAAGCAAUCCCGCGAGGGGGAGCAAAUCUCAUAAAAUGCGUCUCAGUUCGGAUUAGAGUCUGCAACUCGACUCUAUGAAGUUGGAAUCGCUAGUAAUCGUGGAUCAGCACGCCACGGUGAAUACGUUCUCGGGUCUUGUACACACCGCCCGU
rnacentral:rRNA from 1 species